rnacentral:lncRNA from 1 species
CGGGGGUGGGGGUCAGGAGGAAUGGCUCCCCAGACUCCUGAACAGAGGAUGGUGACCCAAUCAGGGAACACGUCUCAACCCAACAUUGAAAGGACAAAGUUGCGUCUGCAGGCUUCCUCUUAAUUCUAUGGAUCAUGCAAUAGUCUUUCAAGAAAUUAUCUUCUGCUUAGCUAGUCACUUCCUGUUGCUAGAACCAUGAAGAGGCCUGGUGAAAGAUGUUCAGUAUACUACCUGCAUCAGCUGCUACUGCUAUGUGACAAGCAAAUUUUCCAGAAACACUGACAUGGAAACAGGAUCUUUCUUCUCCUACUGUUUGUUCCUCGACUACAGUUAUAAUCCUCUAUUUGUGACAUCAUAAUUAGUUGCCACUGGAGAAGACGAUCGUGUCACAAAAGGAUUAGGACCUAAGUCUUGGAGUCCAGCCACUAUGCUGUGGGGAAGCAAAGAAAGCUGUGGAGAGGCCACGUGGGGAGGAAUGCCAUCCUUAGCAUGGGCUGAGCUCCCAGGCAGCACCCAUCUCCAGACAUGCGAGUGAACAGGACUUCCGGCAAUUCCAGCCCCAGCCACUGAGUCACUUCCAGUUUCUCAGUGUUUCCAGGGGAGGCCUCAGACACUAUGGAGCAAAGAAAAUCUGACCCAGCUGUGCCCUGUCCAAAUUCCUGACCCAUAGAGAAUACAAGAGAGAAUAAA